AUGGAUGUAGCAAAAAACUUCACCCGUAGUAGCGAAAGUAAACUACGGUUGCAGCAAAAAUCAAACACCGUCGCCGUCUUUCGCGAGGUCGCGACUCCGCCUUACAUGGAUGUAGCAAAAAGCUUCACCGAUAGAAGCAAAAAUCUACUAUGGUUGCAGCAAAAAUCAAACACCGUCGCCGUCUUUCGCGAGGUCGCGACUCCGCCUUACGUGGAUGUAGCAAAAAGCUUCACCGAUAGAAGCAAAAAAUCUACUAUGGUUGCAGCAAAAAUCAAACACCGUCCCCGUCUUUCGCGAGGUCGCGACUCCGCCUUACAUGGAUGUAGCAAAAAGCUUCACCGAUAG
rnacentral:rRNA from 1 species